rnacentral:rRNA from 1 species
UAGGGAAUCUUCGGCAAUGGGGGCAACCCUGACCGAGCAACGCCGCGUGAGUGAAGAAGGUUUUCGGAUCGUAAAGCUCUGUUGUAAGAGAAGAACGUGUGUGAGAGUGGAAAGUUCACACAGUGACGGUAACUUACCAGAAAGGGACGGCUAACUACGUGCCAGCAGCCGCGGUAAUACGUAGGUCCCGAGCGUUGUCCGGAUUUAUUGGGCGUAAAGCGAGCGCAGGCGGUUUAAUAAGUCUGAAGUUAAAGGCAGUGGCUUAACCAUUGUUCGCUUUGGAAACUGUUAAACUUGAGUGCAGAAGGGGAGAGUGGAAUUCCAUGUGUAGCGGUGAAAUGCGUAGAUAUAUGGAGGAACACCGGUGGCGAAAGUGGCUCUCUGGUCUGUAACUGACGCUGAGGCUCGAAAGCGUGGGGAGCAAACAGG